UGAUUUUACAGUGUUUAUUCCACCUAUUUAGAGAGUAUUAUGAAGUUUUACUCAAUAAAUUGAUAAAAAAAUUAUAACGAUUUCCAUAUACUAUGAAAUAGAGUUUAACAUACAUUAAUACAAAUUUAUAAUGUGGUUAGAAAUUUUAAACCAACACUAAAAGUUUAGGCUUCUGUAUAUAGAGUGUUUAACCUAAAACUCAAUAUUUCGUAUGGGUUUAUACAUAGAUUUUAAAAAAUAUUCAAAAAUAUAACAAUAUUGUUUUAACGCAUAGUUGCAUCCUAAACUAACAUAUGAUGAUGGUCAAAGAGGCUUGGAACCUUUGUUGUCUAUGUUUCUCUAGAAAAUAACGAUUUUAUAAUGGUUAGACCACUAAUUUAUGGAUUACAUGAAGUUUUACAAAAUUAGUUGAUAUAAAAUUAGAAAGAUGCUCAUGUACCAUGAAAGAGAGUUAAAUAACAUUGAUACAAAUUU
rnacentral:lncRNA from 1 species